rnacentral:rRNA from 1 species
UACGGAGGGUGCAAGCGUUAUCCGGAUUCACUGGGUUUAAAGGGUGCGUAGGUGGGUAGGUAAGUCCGCGGUGAAAUCCCCAAGCUUAACUUGGGAACUGCCGUAGAUACUAUUUAUCUUGAAUAUUGUGGAGGUAGGCGGAAUAUGUCAUGUAGCGGUGAAAUGCUUAGAUAUGACAUAGAACACCAAUUGCGAAGGCAGUCUGCUACACAAUUAUUGACGCUGAGGCACGAAAGCGUGGGGAUCAAACAGG